AUUGAACGCUGGCGGCAUGCCUUACACAUGCAAGUCGAACGGUAACGCGGGGCAACCUGGCGACGAGUGGCGAACGGGUGAGUAGUGCAUCGGAACGUGCCCAAUAGUGGGGGAUAGCCCGGCGAAAGCCGGAUUAAUACCGCAUACGACCUAUGGGUGAAAGCGGGGGAUCGCAAGACCUCGCGCUAUUGGAGCGGCCGAUGUCAGAUUAGGUAGUUGGCGGGGUAAAGGCCCACCAAGCCUGCGAUCUGUAGCUGGUCUGAGAGGACGACCAGCCACACUGGGACUGAGACACGGCCCAGACUCCUACGGGAGGCAGCAGUGGGGAAUUUUGGACAAUGGGGGUAACCCUGAUCCAGCCAUGCCGCGUGCGGGAAGAAGGCC
rnacentral:rRNA from 1 species